rfam:Schistosoma haematobium scaffold889_6, whole genome shotgun sequence.
AUCCAGCUGACGAGUUCCAAACAGGACGAAACGCGCGUCCUGGAU